AUUGAACGCUGGCGGCAGGCCUAACACAUGCCAGUCGAGCGGAUGAAGGGAGCUUGCUCCUGGAUUCAGCGGCGGACGGGUGAGUAAUGCCUAGGAAUCUGCCUGGUAGUGGGGGAUAACGUCCGGAAACGGGCGCUAAUACCGCAUACGUCCUGAGGGAGAAAGUGGGGGAUCUUCGGACCUCACGCUAUCAGAUGAGCCUAGGUCGGAUUAGCUAGUUGGUGGGGUAGAGGCCUACCAAGGCGACGAUCCGUAACUGGUCUGAGAGGAUGAUCAGUCACACUGGAACUGAGACACGGUCCAGACUCCUACGGGAGGCAGCAGUGGGGAAUAUUGGACAAUGGGCGAAAGCCUGAUCCAGCCAUGCCGCGUGUGUGAAGAAGGUCUUCGGAUUGUAAAGCACUUUAAGUUGGGAGGAAGGGCAGUAAGUUAAUACCUUGCUGUUUUGACGUUACCAACAGAAUAAGCACCGGCUAACUUCGUG
rnacentral:rRNA from 1 species